CUCCUGCAAGCGGUGUGCUUGGCAGUGGCUGCAGGGACUGGAGUGACGGAGGCAGAGAGCAGUGUCCCAGGAGCACAGCCUGCUUCUGGAAAGGGCCAUCAAAGCAGAGCUCUGUGCUAAUCUGUGUGGUGGAAACCUGCCUGCCUGGCACAGUCCUGCUGGCUCCUCCUGCUGUGUACCACAGCAAGGGCAUAGGUAGCUCCAGGCACCCCUAGGACUUCCCAGAAGACCCUGCAGAGCCUUGAGGCUGCUCUCUGCUCUUGCAUGGUCUUUGGGCGAGUUGCUUGGCAUGCGAAUGUGAAGCCCUGUGUGGGAAUACAAACGCAGUCCCCAGCUCUCCCAAGCAGGGUGCUUCCUCCCCGCUUCUUCCUCUCUUGCCAUUUACUCAAGCCCUGCUUGUGCACCCUGUGAUUAAUUAUGUGCUAGCCUUUGUACAUCAGCCCUCCUGCCUGCUUGUCUGCGGCCCAGCAAACUACUGCUCACUACUGCGGAGAAGAAAGACUCCUUUUGCUGUUUGUCCGAAUCCAGACUGGAUCAGCGAGCCAGGUGCACAGCCAAUUUCCACUGCUGCUUUGAAGCUGAGAAGUAUUUUGAAAAUAAUAGAGCCUUUAGCUGUGCAAGUAAAAGCCAUUUAUCUUAGGAUGAAAAAGUGCUGGCAUGGAAAAAUUCCAAUGCUAUGAAAUUCUCUUUUCCUGAAUGUCUUGGAUACUUUCUGGAUUAGAUCCACUUCUAAGGAGCUCAUGAAUGUCUCUUUUACAGAAAAGAGCCACAGAGGACAGAGAGGCAACUCAGAGGACUUCCAGCCACCAGGGCCAAAGUCUCUCUGGCACUGUCCUACUGGCAUGUCCCUGGUGGAACUAUGCUGGAGGUCACUGCGUAUCAAACGGGGAUGAUCCAUGCUCAGGUGAAUGCAUGCUUUUCCAAGUAAAAGCAAGGCUGCUUGAUGCCGGCGAGAAACAUGUGGCUGUCCAACAUAUUGCCUGAAAUCCACAAAAGGAAUCAUUGGUACUGCUGAUUUCAGGUGUCUUUUAUUAAUACUGAAAAGAAAAAUUGAGCGUUUCCUUUGUACAAUUUGUAAUGCUCUGCUAAUCUGUGUAAUCUGCAGCUAAUGUCCUUUUGUGCUGUGUCUGCAACAAUUUCCCUGCUUUGUCAUUUCCAUCGCAAUACGUAGGUGUUGUCUAUUUUGCUUGUAAGGUCAUCUUAGGCAGUUCUGGUUUGAAAUAUUUGUACUGCAAGCUUUCCCCAAACAUGUGAUAGUUUCUGUUGGCUGCUCUUCUUGUUUGGUUUCUUUUUAUGUCCUUUAUGGGAGGGGAAGUGGAUGAGCUGGGAGGAAAGAUGAAAUGUCCUUUGUGUGCAGUUAGAGACAAGUAUCAUCCCCAUACAGUGAUGAGAUGUACCCUCACCUUCAAAUGCUUCUGCUCCAAGCUGCAACUCGUGUCUACAUCCACCUCUACAGACAUAGAGCUUUAAAAACAUGCUGUGCUCUUACUUGUGCCAUGAGCCCCCACUCUUAGUUAACCUUCAGGCAUUUAAGGUCAGAAGGCACCAUCUGAGCCAUCAAUUCUGCUGUACAAGUAAGGAGACUGGGUCAUGAGAAAGGAGAAGUGAAUGAAUCUCAUGAAGAGAGAAAGGAAAUACCUCUAGACUCAGAUAGAUUCAGAUGGGAUUGCUGAGGACUACCAGAGUUCCCUCUUUGCGUUUCACUUCAGCUGAGAUGGAGUUCCCCAUUAUUGCACUGAGUGUUAGGUCUGUGGGCAGCCAGGGAAACGUCAGCUGCAGACUUGAUGUGAUGAAGUGCAGAAGUCUAAUGUAGCAAAGAGAAAGGAUGAGGCUAGAGGGGAAGAGGUUAAUGAGUAGAGAGGGACACAAACCUGCAUGAUAUAAAAGCCUGGAGGAUUUCAAGGGGCAGGCUAAACAUGAACAGGAAGAUGACAGAGCUGCAUUUCUAGGUACCUGAGGGAAGGCAGGGAGUUGUGUUAGUUGUGGCUGUCACAGCUAACAGUUGCAUUGAGGCACAAGCAACGAUGUCUCCAGCAGCCAACAGGAAACAUUUGACAGACCAGGAGAUUAGAGAGGAGGUUACCAUCAAGGUGAGAGAGGAGAAAGCGUGAGUUUGUGGAUAUUUAUGCAUAGCUGUGGUAUUGCUAUGUAAGCUGCAAGAGGAAACCCUUAACAACAGAUUCCCAAAGCUUGCUAUACGAUGUCACUUCUGUCAGGGGAAUAACACCAAGUAGGCUGCUGCAAGCAAAUAAUAAAACUACCUCAUUUUAUUAAGCUGAAUCAAUCCAUGCUGGUUUUAUGUCUUCCUAUUGUCCUCUUUUUCUAACCAAAGCUACUUCAUUAACUAAAGAUACAAUUACUCUGCAUGAUUCAAUUGUCCUCGGUGUGGAAUGGUCUCCUAUGUUUGAGGUGUUCAACUGAAGGCUGAGUUGAAUCCUCAAGCUUAUCCAGUCUUGAAAAUUUUAAGAGAUGGGGCUGGUGGGAUGGCUGCCCAUCUGCUCCUCCCCAAACCCCAGGCAGGACCAACUGACAGAUGUUUUUUGCACUCUCAGAGCACUGGGAACUCUACAGCUCUCCAGGCAACAUACUGCAGUGCUUACUUAUCCUUGCUUUUGGAAGGUAUUUUUAGUGUAGCUCCUCUCCUCUAAAUUAAGGCCGUUACUCUAGUACCCCAAAUGGAGCUGGGACUGAAGUUACUCCCUUCCUGAUUUAUAAGAUGACCACUGCUAUGUCUUCCUCGCCUCUACACUUAGGUAGAGAAAAAUCUUAUCGACGUUCUUCUGGGUUUUGACUGUUCAGCCUUUCCCUUGGCACCUUUUCUGGACCACUACUACUAUUGUUCUCCUUUCAUCUUUCUGCUAUAAGCUCACCAUCUCCCUGAACCGCAGUGGCCAAAACUGCACAGUUCAAAUGAAGUCUUCACAGCAUAGACAACUGUGAAAGAAUUAUUUCCUGUUUCUUGCAGAUUGAACUUCUGUUUGUACACCUCAUUACAACACUUUCAUUUUUUACUGCAGCGUGACCGUGCUCAUUCAUGUUGAGCUGUCAUCCCUAGAUCUUCUGCAGAACUGCCGCUGUGCCGGUUGUUUCCCAGCCGUCUUUUAGUACUUGAUGACGCCUACGCAACUGCAGAGCUGUGUUUUGUCCCUGCUCAAUGGCGUUUGUUUUCCCCAGCAUUCCUCCAAUUUGUCAAGAUUGUUUUGCAUUCUCAUCCUGUUCUCCAUGGUGUCCUGUGCUAAUUUAAUAAGUGUUCCCUACUCUCAUUUCUUCAAAGAUAUUAAUGAAAAUACCGUACACAGUCAGACACAAAACAGAUGGCUUCAGACUUCAUUUGAUACGUACUGCCAGUUUGACAGUGAAGCAUUUAUAACUGCUUUUAGUCUGGUUUUCCAACCAGCUGUACACUCCUCUAAUAGCAGUUUCUUCUAAACCACGUUUCUUUACUUAGUUUAUGAAAGUGUCAGGUGAGACAAUAGCAAAAGCUUUACUAAAAUCAAGAUCUGAGACCUACUAUGGAAGGAAAUUAGAUUGAUCGGAUAUGAUUUGUUUUUGUCAAAUCAGUGCUUGCUGUUCCUCAUCUGCUUGCUGUCAUCAAGGUGCUGGAAAACAGUUUAACCAAUUUCUACUUCCAGCAUUUUCCAGGAAUUGAAAUUAAGCUGCUUGCUCUCUUGGGCACCUUUGAGUGGAGACCAAAGGAAGAAAGUAACAACCAUUUGUGUCUUUGGUAUCGUCACUGAGGAACUCCUCCUUGUGAAACUCAGGUCUUUCUUUGGCCCUCCUUUUACUUCAAGUACAUAAACUUCACACCCACUGCUUGUUGCAUCACCUGUAUCUUUUUCAUUUCAUUCCUCCUCUUAGUAACAUGACCUAGUUUGACUUUCUGUCUGCUUCCUCUGCACAUCUGAAACUAAUGAAGAGCUCAUGUUUAAUUACUUUGUACCUUGUGGGCCCCCUCUAGGACUUGUGCUAAGUUUCCCUGCUACCAAGGAGUUCACAAGUAGCUCUUUACUAUUUCUUCUGUGAUUGUGCCUUCCACACAACUUCCUUAGAGCACUGUUAACUCUUCAAAUGUCCUUUCUGCCUCAGAUUUGCCACUUGAAGGUCACUCUCACCCCAGCUGCCUUUCACCUUUGCCCACAGACCCAAGUAUCCUGUAUAAGUCAGAGUCAAAUACUGCAGAGCAUCUAGUCAGGAAGAAGCUAAAUUAAAGAGAUGACAGCUGUGGUCAGCUCAGGGAAGAGCACAGAAAGAGCACCAGCACAGAGCUAAACAGAUAUGCCCCACAUAUUUAGCACUUAGUUGUGUCAGGAAAAAUUAAUAUUAACGCUCACAAUUAUCUGCCCCCAUCUAUGAACUUGUCAUUAAAUUCAGGAGGGUUGACUAACAGCGGUGGAAACAUCGUUAUUUGUGUAAAACUUGAGCAGUGCAAAACUUACCAUUGCUGUUUGUCUGCUUUAAGACUUUCUGAUGGUAUCUAUUACAUCUUUGCACAAUGAGGAGGCUUAGACUUUGCAAACAUUUGGAAAUUCUGUGUAAGAAGCAUGCAGUUAGAUCUUUCAUUCAAUUAAGCACUGACAUUACAGAGUGUUUCCAAUGAUGGGGGUUCAGGCCUGCAAGAACAGCAUCAAGAAGCUCUCACUGAGCCAGAGCUCACCAUGUUCCAUGCUCUUUAAGCACUGUUGAACAGGGCCUCGGCUUCUUAGCAGCCAACCAAGACACUCUACGCCUUCAGGACCAGCUUAAUCUUUCCCAGUCAGCUUCUUCCAGUGCAUGGUGUGCACUGUUCCUGGAAAUAUCUUACUCUAGCUGCAUUAGUAGUAGAAAAGCUCUACCUAAAUGUACCUUCCUGCUUAAAACUCCCAUUUAGAAAUUUGCUUUGGGAGCUGCUUGCCCUCUACUCCAUAAUGCCAUCCAUCCAAACCAAUCCGAAUCUUCCAGGCCAGGGCUGUGCCCAUGCAAUCUCCCUGUGCAGUCCAGGAAAAGCCUACCUGAGCAGUUUAAUGCCAAGUUGGCUUUUGGCUGCCAUUCAUAGCUCAAACAUGUUCUUGCAGAAGUCCCUUUACGUGCUGAGCGAUUGGUCCGUGAGCACAGUCGGCACGGCAGCUAGUAACUCUGCUGUGAGUUAUUUUAAUGAUGUUAUUGAUUUCAUUAGCUCCAUUUUGUUUUGCUUCAUUACAUCAACUCUUGGCGCCAGGGUUAAGUGGCAGCUAAUUAAUUCAGCAUAAAUGAUGUUUCUUUAUGGGGCAGCCAGGACCAAAGAGAACUCCUGAAGCUUCCAGGGAUGUUUGCCCAGAAGCUGGGAUGGUUUGUAAAGGAGUUGUUAACUUUGUUUUAACAUCCCAAACAAUCACAUCAGUACAACUUUAUAACUUACUCCUCUCUAUGCAUUUGAUAUCACCUCAUGAGAAGAAAAUGUUACAGAUAUAACAAUAGCUGGUAUUCUUGCAGACAAUCCGAUUUCUUUAUCUAGAAGUUAGAGUUUGAUAUGUCACCCAAUGAUUGGCCUUUGAGUCAUUCAAAGCUCAUAUAAAAAAGAAGAAAAACAAAUGUACAGCCUGCUGUGGUAGAAUCAUAGUCUAACUGAGCAUCCACGGCAUCUGCUGGAGAACUCUCCAGAUGGUGCCCUUGGAAUUUGGGUCAGACUUUAUAAUGCUCCAAACAAGCUAUGAAGAAAGCUGCAGGAAGAUCUGAGAGACAUCCCCAUGAGGACAUAGAUGGGUAAUUAUUUAUUUUUUAAGAACAUACCUAGAGGCUUAGGCAACUGGCAGACUUAAGUUCACCAAACAGUAUUUGGGUUAAAAAAAGUUACACUACUGGCAAGCAGAGAAUCUCCUGAAAGUACAGUUCAUCUUUCCUGAAGUAAAAUCAAAAGUAGCAGCACCACCUCAUCAUGUCAAGCUUCCUAAAAUAAAAUACCUAUUAAAAGUAAUUCAGCUCAGGCAAAAACGUGUUGUAACUGAUAGGCUUUCCAUUGCCCAUCUGAGAAGACUUGCUUGCUCAAAGCCUUGCACCUAGCUGUGGCCUGACUCAAGGCUCCUGUUGGCUUUGGUGAGAGCUGGUCAAAAGCAGUAUGUUGGACCCCACUUGCCAUGCACUUGGCACUUUUGUAGAAAGAGCUGAAAGGACAGCUCACCCCAGCUUGUGUCACAGCAGCAAAGAUAAUGUUUGCAUCUGCAAGAGAAACUGCAGUGAACAACAUGGUGCCAACAGUCUCCAAGUGAAUGUAGCUGGUGUGCUUCUGUUUCACUGAACUUUUAUCUACUGUAUAAUCAUGAAUGGGAGUCCCUGUGCAAAGUGGGUCUUCACCCCACUAUUCGCAUGCUAUUUCUUUGUCUAAUGGCAAUGUGGCUGUUUCCUUUGCACCCUGAACAGUCCAGCUUUUCCUUCCUUCUUCCCUUCCUAGCUCCUUCCCUCUUCAUUUCCAUUCCAUGUUUUAACAAGAUGACCUAUUGGAUACCAGUAUCUGGGUAAAGACUACCUCUUUGUGUCAAAUCUUUUGCUUCAUCACAACAUCAUAAAACCACCACUGGAAAAUAAAACAACAAAGCAGAGGUGUAUGAGGGGUUUCUCAAGUAAGUUAUUUGUGUUGAGCACAUGCACGGAUACUUAUUUUACUUUUUCUAUCAUAGAUCAGCUAAUGGAUGUUUUCUUUAGUUGAAAUAUUGGAAAAUAAAAAUAAACUCAGGCAUUCCUGAGAUCUGUCCUGGGUGACACAGACAGGGUGAAGGUGGCAUGUUAACCCACUACUUCUCAUGGCACAGAAGCCUGGGGCUAUCAGAGUGAAAGAGCAGGCUGUGCGGGCACCUCACCGUGGGUCAUUUUUCUUGUCAAUGUAUAACCAGACUUAAAAUGUGAUUAGGGAAAUUCCUGCAUGAAAAGUCCUUCGGGACUCUUAACAACUAAGCACUUAGCUGGGACUGCACCACUGCCCAACUGCUCUUUGUGUCUGCGUUUUCCUAAGCCAUCAUCCUGGCCCUUCUCAGAGAUGGGGCUGUGAUGUGUCCUCCCAGCCACCUCUGCACACCUCGGUUCUCUGCCUUCCAUCUUCUCCCUGCCUCCCAUCUGGGCAUUUCCACCCACUGCUCAGCUGCCCCGCCAGCAAACCACUCCAGAGUGAACUUUGUCCUCCUCCACCUGGCAGCAAACCUCGGUGGCAUGAAUUGUCACGGAUCUUCUGCUUCCAAUGGAAGGAAGGUUGUGAAGGAUACGUCCCGCAUUUUUUCCUGAAUGAUUUUUUGAGUUGGAAGGAUCUCUUCAGUUAUUUUUGUCAAAAUGGGAGUGCAUUUUCUCAAUUUUUUUCUUUAUUCCAGGAAUUCAGUUCUUGUCCAUGAUGAGAAAUGAGGUCAAAGAGCUGGCUUUAUAGCAUGCUGGAGAGAAAAUAACUCCUACUUAAUAAACAAAUAAAUGAACAGUCCCCACUGCUCAGUAGGGUGUGAUACGAGUUCCAAAUUUACACAUAAAGCCUUUCAAACCAUGGCAUGACUUUGCUAGCACUGUUCAAAGCGAAAAGCAGGCAUGGAAAAAUCUAACUAACUGAAAAUGCAUUUGAAAACGCUUUCUUAAGGAUAAGAAUCAUAAAAUGCAAACUGGAAUAUAAACCCAAUUUCACAAUAUUACACUGCAAAUUGUUUUGAUUUUGGAAGGAUGCGGAGUGCAGGCUAAGAUCAGCUGCCUGCAUAAGCCAUGUUAUAAUAAAUCACAUUGCAUUUUUCAUCCCCAGAACAAUCUCCAGUGAUAUGCUACAUUCUUUAUUAAGAGUGUUCCGCAGCAAUCAGAGCUGAAGGGAAGGAAGGAAAUGGGUUGAAGAACAUGGCAAGAAUCCCUUAAAGUUAAGGGAGGGGAAUGGGGAAAGUUAUUUUAAAAGUACAGGUGGUUAGUGUAAAUUAUUGAGCUCUUGAAAUGUUUUCCCUUGAUAAUUCUAAUCACCUUGUGAAAUCAGUCAUUCAUGCUUUUGCAAAACUCUUGAUUUACUGGGAGCUUUAAUCUAUUAGUUGCAGCUCAGAGCCAACCGUGCAUUCAUCUCCGCAGGCAGAAAGAGCUGGGCUCAACCCUGCAGCAGAGCUCAGCACUACAGCUGCUGAGCAUGCACCACCAUAAAAUGAAUGGUGCCACCCUGAGAGGGAUGCUGAUACCUGGAGGCACCCUGACUUACUGCACCAGGGCUUGGGCCAUGGAAACAUUCCCUCAGACCCAGGGGUGUGGGGACCAUGGGGCAGUGGCACACGAAUGAAGGUGUUUCCCACUCCACGUUACAUGAGAUUUGUGGGAUUGUUUGUGCCACAGAAUGGUGCUAUUGAUAUAGGUUGGCUUAGCAAUAGGGAUGAAUGAUUUUGGAUGAUACUUCACAGCUUCAGCCAUGGUUCCUUCCAAGCAGAGACCUCUUCUUGCUGUUCUUUGGGCGUUUACUUACUUUUUUCUACUGUAUUUGGGGAUUUCUCUUGUCAUCAUUAUCUAGGAAUAGCUCCAUUUUACUGUGGAUGAUGAUGUUUGUUACCAAGCUGCUUGGGUGCACCAGUAAGAUCAACUGGUGCUAGCUCAACUCUUACAUAAUUAGCAGACACAGUCAAAUGUCACUCAUCACAAUGAAUGCAAAGGUGAUUUAGAUAAAUGAAGGUUAGGAUAAACAGGUGAUAUUGUAGUGUGUUUAAUGCAUUAACAUCUUAAUAGCCAUUAAAUGAUGUGACCUCAUUUCUGCUAAAUGAGCAUUUAAUAAACAAGUUUUGACUGUGGUGUCAUUGUGCAAAGGUCUCCGUGAGAACUUUGAGCAGAAAGACAACAUCUUUGUGACUGAACAACACUGUGCACAGUGGGGAUUGCACUGGAUGUGAUAGAAGAGAAGACAAGGUCUCACGUCUGGAGGCUGCCUAAAAGCACGAGAGACUGAGCAGACAUGCAGGAUCCCUGCUCUACCUGGAUGUCCUGCUGCCAGCUGCCACAGCUGGUUGUAAAAUGUUCCUCAUCUCUUUCUUUUCUAUUUUCCCCUUUUUCUUUUAUUUUGCCUCUUUUUCUUCCUUUGUUGUUGUUGUUGCUGUUGUUGUUUUUGUUUUGUUUUUCUUCUUUUCUUAGUUGGAUUGCCUGGGGACUUGCCAGAAACUUGGGACCAGACUUUUUUGCUGGGAGUCUUGUCUUGGGAAUUAGUGGAAUUUGCUCUUCAAUGCUCUAUAUUAGAACUAUUCAGGCUGCUUGAAUCCUAAUUCAGCUAUUAACACUAGUUUAGGUAAAAGCACAGUGGGCUUGUUGUGGUAGCUUUGUGCCUUUUUUAUGAAACAAGUUUGGCAGAUCCAUAGAGUGAAGGGUUUCCCUUUUUCCCUUUCAUCAUCCUGUGUAUUGGGAGAUCCCUUCCUUUGCUUGGAGUGCCCAAGUGCUGUCCUUUCAAGACACAAGGAUGACAGUAAGGCAGUGGGAUAGGUGGCAGAACUGGGCCCACCUCUCACCCCACGUACCUCUCCACCUGCACCAAGUUCCCCUUGUGGCAGCUGUGAGGUUCAGUUCAACAGAGAGACUGUCCUCAACAUUAUUAAGCAUGAGAACAAUGCCAGCUGAGCCUGAAGAGUGGGCAGUGACGCCUGGGCAGACUGUUUCCUCCCAGCCCCAGCACAUGUUGCGCAGAAGAUGCUCUCCUGCACAACUUUCAUGAGCUCUCAAAGAGGCAUUGACUUCUUUUUUUUGAAUCUUAGCAAUGUAGCUGCAGAUGUAAAACACAACAGACAUUUAGAAACUGUAUGACUUUCCCUAAUUGUCUGCAACAGUUUCAAGAUAAGUCAUUUUUAAAAGAAUUGCUUUGAACAGAGAUGACUUUAAAACAGACUUCCGUACUUCUUGUUUUUGCUUUUGCCUUGGCACAGAUGCUUACCCUCUCUCUACCUCCUUUGUAGAGUUAAUUAUGCAAAGGCGAAGAAGCUAUAGUAACAUUGUAAUUUUGUUUGGCAAGGUGAGCCGCAAAACAUAUGCUGUGUCAUGCCUUUUUAUUACUGUGCAAGAAUUGCCAAAGAAGCCUAAGGAGGAAUCAAGGACAUCAUCGUUGCGAGGAAAAGAGGAAACAGCCCAGUUUUACAACACCGAGGCUUGUAACCGCUUGCGGUAGAUAGUUUCAGAACUGGUUUAAUUUUAAAUUAUUCUUUUGCCAACUGACAGCAGCUUCAAAGCGACUUUUGUUUGAUUCCACCACUUUCUGAUCCCCACUGAGUCAUUUUACAAUGUCCUGCCAACCAAAGUCCAACCGAUGCAGGCAGCAGCACAGCAGCAUCCGCUCUGUUCUCUGCAUGGGAAGAUGGCAUCACCAAAGGUGGCUCUAGCCAGAAAAGCACUGGUCUCCUGUGCCCACACUGGCUGCUCGAUGUGCUGCUAUUAUCCCAAGGGGUGUUUUCAGUUGGAGAGGAUCAAGGAACCCAUUUGGGUUUAAAAUAAAGAGGCUGAAAGAUAAGAUUACAUUCAACUUGGUCUCUUUCCAGGACACCGGUUUCCUGAGGAGCUGGAGAGAUACAGAAGAAAUGUGGGUUUUGGUAUAUGACAAAUUCACACUGCGACUUCUCCCAAGUGCUUUUGUUUGCGAUGCCUUGGAGCUCGUGCAAAACUACAGAAAAGGCCACAGAGGGGGAGCUUAGCAGAAAGAAGCCUGGUUUCUCCACCAGAGAUGAAUCAUGCUGAAACACAAAGCUAGCCUCUUCCUUAUUGGAAGCUGGGAUAUUGCUUCUGCUGUGCAGAGAGGAUCCCACAGCAGCAGCCUCCAGGCAAUGGGACACACUUCUGGAGUCGUUAUCAUCUGCCAUCAAACACAGCCCCAGGCCCAAGGAGGGGCUUUAAUGAGCAGGGAAAACACCACAGAAGAACUGGAAAUGUUCCCCCCCAGGUCAGUUUGCUCACCAUUAGUGUUUUCUUACCUCCUCUGCUGUAGGCAAAUGCGUUUUCUGUAUGUAAGAAUUUGUAGAACUGAUAACCAACUUCACAGGGAUAGGAAAGGGCAAGAAUGCUUUCAAGAAGCCUCAGGUUUCCUUACACAUCUCUGAAAGACAGUCCACAGUGCAACACAGCCACCAAUAGCAGAGGCUUACUAAUGAUGACAGUGCCUGCAAAGAGCAGAAAUGCAGAAAGUGAUGGAAAGGUUUGUAACAGGGGCUUUGAGAGGGAGAGCACUGCAUCACCAGCAUUUCAGGAAUAAGAGGCUGAUCUGCUCACAGACACAGGCUAACACUCACUGUCCCAUCUCGUGCUGCUUUCCGCCCCACAUAUAAAGGAUAUCCAGUGCAAUGCAGUGACACCAAACAUGUCCUUUCAAAGGACUUGAGAUAUGGUAGUGGUAGAGAUUUGGGAAAAAGCAGCUACUGCAGAAACCUGCAAUUUGUAUUUCAUAUCCUAUUGCAUGUGACAAUUCAGUUCUUUUGGGAAACUCCAUUCUCCUGUCAAAAAUAAGCCAGCAAUGUGGAAAGAGUGAGAUAAGCUGUUUGUUCAAGCAGUCACACCUCACAUCCUCAGAGACAUAGGCUGGUCACAGCAGUCACAAUUUUGGCAGUGUCCAACACAAGCUCAGCCCCACUGCUAUGGCAGCUCCAGGAUAAUUAUACCUCUAGGGGCAUCGCAAAUGUGCCAGCACACGUGGCAGGCCAGCCUUCAGCCUUGUAGCUUAGGAUGGCAACAGCCUUCAGCCCAGAUCAGCUCAUUGCUUAAGGGAAAGAAGCGCUGGAAGCCACUUCUGAGCUCAUCCCAGCAGAGCACCAUUGCCACAGCACUUAUCUGCGGUUAUCUGUAGUUGCAGGUGACCUGACAUGAGACUUACUUGCACUCACACACUUUAAAUUCGAGGCAGGCAUAAAACAUGAGACAGUACAUGUUGCUCAUGUAGGGAAAUGCCUUCAUUAAUAUUCAACCCUGAGGACUAGCCUAAGGUAGAGAGUUUUUUGGAGCAGUGUGCUGCGUGCAAGACAUUUAAAAUCCAGACGCUCCUCUAACACUUGAAAUGCUCAUAGAAGAACUGAUGCACCCCAAACCAGGUCUUCUCAGGAGCUCCAUUUCCUCUGAGCUGUCCGUGCAACAGACUUACCUUGUAUGGGUGGAAAUACUCUUGAUCUCUGAUGAUCAAAGGACAGUCUAAUGUGCCUGCCAGAGAGAAAGAGCAAGCAAAACCUCAAGAAGCUGCAGGAUGUGUGAGACUCAUGUCUCCCUAUCUACAUGCUCCUUUGCACCAAGCCAGUGGUAUAAAAAGUGGAUAUCCAUACUCCUUUUGCCUCAGAAGCACAAUUUAGACGAUACUUGAGUCUGUUGGUCACAGUGUGGGUAACUCUGAGGGGGAUGAAACGAUACAUGCAGAGCCACUGGCUAAGGCCUAGUGGCCGAGGUACCCCACACAGGUCCGGCUGCCCUGCAGCAGCAGUGUGUCCCAGCAGCGUGGCAGGGCAGGUGCUGGGGCAGGAGCUCCUUCCACCAUGCUAAGAUGUCUCUGAGUGAGUCACCGCACUGCCAUCUGAAAUACUGGGUCAGGUGCUCUAGUUUAAACCCCAGAUGACGGUAGGUGAGCAGACAGGCGAGCACACCCCUUCAGUAACAAACCCGUGGGAGGCUGGAAGGUACCUGAGGCCAGGGCAGGUGCUUGCUGAGUGAGUGUGUCAGCGCUCUGAGGCUGGUGGGAACCAUUCCUCUUGGCAUUCGCAUUGCUCUGGAAAUGAGUUACACUGGCGCUGAAGAGCUAGAAACUUUCACAUUGACAUAUAUUUUAAUAGCCAAUUAGACUAAAAUAGUCUUGGUGUAAGUGAAAACUAGACAGUGGCAGUACCCAGGAUAAAACUAAUUGAGAUUAUUUGUGAAUUCCCAGUUACAUUUCUAUUGGAAGAGCCAAAAUGAUGUACAAUGUGUUUAUUCUGGCUCUAGAUGUUUUGUUGUUGUUGUUUUGCUGGCAUUAAACCACCUGUUGGAAGACAGACCUUGCCUUAUCCUACAUAAAGACAGCCAGUACAGUGCUGACUCAUCACCAGUGUUUGAUUAAAUGGAAGUUUACUAUCAUAUGGAUCAGCACUUUGCACCGGGAAGCCCCGGUGUUUGCUAUCCUUCCUUGGAAGUCAUAAAGCCAGGCCUUUUUCUUCCAUCAGCAGCCCACAUGUGCAGGGCUCUAACUGAAAUGGUUUAACACCGGCCCUUUUAUUACACCAGCGCAACUCCUUCCCACACGUUGGCCCUUCACUUGAUGUUACUCAUUGCUUUUUGUUUACACAUAGGAAUUUUAUUUGAUGCAUAAGCAGAUAAGUACUGCAUCUGCUCAGUCGUAUUUCCCUAACACCUCUCCUUUUGUUCUUUUUGCUUUUUAUCUUCUGGGUUUUCUUCGUUAAGGAUCCUUGCCCUCACCCAUCCACUGUCCCCUUACUUCCUUAGCUUCACUCUGCCCACCUCUGCUUCUGCAGUAGAGGAAGCUUGCUUGAUAGCAUUAUGCAAUGCCUUUACUAUUUGGUGAUGUUAAUGCUCUCACUCUGAAUCAAUUUCCUCUUUGUUUGCCUGUGAUGGAAAGCUCCGUGAAAUUUGCAACGGUUUUGCUGAAAUGAGAAAAGGGAAGGACGAGAUCUGCAGCCAGGCACUCUGCAGCCCCUCCCAGCUCUCCAGUGCUCAGGGUAGGGGCGCAGACUGAGUCACUCCACCCUGCACCAGCAAACACCCGUGGAGGCACAAAAGGGCUGCUGACAGCAGGCAGCAUGCAGCCAGCUUGGAUUAAAGGCCACCUCUGGGAAGAGGGGCUCGUGCCCAGAGAGCCUUGGCUCUUCUGGAUGACUCAGCCUGAUUUGCCCCACUCAGGCGGAGGCCAGACCAUCCUCAGUUUGCCUGGGAGCUCCUGCCCCCCUGAGCAGCUCUGGUUGGAGGACUGGUGCCCCCAAUAGCUCUAGGGUGAAGAGAAGCAGUUGGAGGCAGGCUGGAGAGCCCUGCUUCUGCCUCCCCACUGGAAACUGUACUUUCUUGCUUGCUCACGUGCACACUCGGAUUGUGCACUUGAGAAGACGAUAGGCAGGAAUAUUUACAUUCCUUGCCAUGGAUAUGAAGCUGAAUUCCACCCUCCGGUUGCAAGGUGAAUCAGGUCAGAAACACUGUUUCAGAGAACAGAAAUGCAGAGGUACGGCCGAUCAGAUGGGGUGCCGAGCCACCAUGCAGCUGCACAACCUUUCCAGCAAUUAAUCCAGCAGAAAGCAAGGGAAGGAUCGCAAGCUCAGUGCUAACCAGGGGUUUUGGCACUUUGCUGGGAAGGCUCACCUGGCAAAGCUGCUCCCUGAGGUCCGCAAGUCUGCUGAGCAGAUACCCCAGCACCCUGUGGCAAAGCUCCUUUGCUGGGGGAACAAGGCUUACUUCUGUGAACUACUGCUGAGAAUGUAUGCUCAGAGCACACAGCAUGUGUGCAGGAAGGAAUGACGCAGCUGUACCUUCACACCUUUCAGCACUCGCUUACAAAAAGGCAGAAAGAUGUGUUUAAAUUCCCUUUUCUUCUUCCCUUGUUUGGCUAGACAAGUCCCAGGCCAUAUCUGGAUAGCACCAGCUAGACUGUAUGUCUGGCCACUGCAUCCCACUCAUUUUUAAGGAAAAAUAAGCCCCACACUGGAGAGUCUGCUCACAGAUCAGGCAGUUCUCUGCUGGACUGGGCUGCUUGGAGCCUAUGCUCUCCACAUCUGAAACCAGACAACCCCAGGAGCAAAGCUCCACGUUUCCAGUCACUGAUUCACAGCCUCUGGCAGUUCCUGCAGGAUGGCUGAAAACAGUGCCAUGGGGCUAGCAGCUUGCCCCACAGCCAGCGCAUCCCAACCGCAUCUGCCUUGGACCCGGAGAAGGAACCCUAUAAUCCCUGUGUGGUCCUUCAGCAUCACCUAGCAUUUCCAUCCCAAACACUGUGUCUUCCUUCUCCUUCCUGCUCCUUAAUGCAGCCACUCAUAUGGAAAAUGAAUCAGCCUUCCUUGGGCACGUUUCCAGAGGCCCCUCUGACUAAUUCUGCCCAAAACAGCCAGGCUGACCCUGUGCAACGGUGUGAUCAUGGCAGACAGGACUGGGUCACGUUUGGGUGGAGGAAGGGAAAAACUGUUUCGCAGGCCUGCCCAAAAAUCCUCAUGCUGACUCUGCCAAAACCACACCAAACAUAUGGUAAAUGAAAUAGCUGGCAUGGAGCUGCUUUGGACAGCAGAAGUGUUUCAGCACUGUGGACUGCUCUUUAGCUGUCUUGAAUGUUAUUUACCCUGUUUAAGCAUCUCCACAUUUAAGGGAGAGAAGGCAAAGAAAAGGGCAGUGCCAAUUUUUUGUGCAUUUGAUGCUUUUAAAAUGCACAUUAUUUUUAUAAUCAUGUUAGCACAGUCCCAAUGCUUGUCCUGUCCUGUGAGAACAGUAAUGGCAUUGCAGAUGGUUUCCCCUCCUUGUGUAGCAACGGACUUCUGUGGAAAAGCACACAGAAGCAUUUUCUCUCUCAAAACAGGAGCUGUGCCUAAUUCACCAUAUAAAUGUCCUGCACAUUUCAUGGAGCUGAUGAAAUCAUGUACAGAUGGAAUUCCUCUUAACAAAGGCUUUAUUCACAGAGCAGGUUUCUCUGCCAUGUAUCUUUGACUGUAUUCCAGCUUAUACAGCUAUUCCCACUGAAUAUAUCCAUAGAGCCAGACCAUUUUCUGGGCAGAUACCAAAGGUGGAGGUGCUCAGCUCCCAACACUGCACUGUGGCUUCAUUACAAGUCUGAGGCUGAAGUCAUGCCAACGAGCACUCCUUUCCUCACUUUGUGUUGUUCACCUGGACUCAAGCACCCAAUGCCAUUUCCAGGGUUUGUCAGGUACUUUGGAAAAAACACUGUAGAACAACAAGAACCUGAGAAAGAGCAUCCAAAGAACCCAGAGUUCGUCAGUCAUUUGGGAGAUGGCCACAGGAAUGGAGUUGUGGUGGCUACAGCUACAGAAGAAAGAUGAAAAUAAAGCAGCCAAAUGGUGAUGAUCAUGAAAAAAAAAAAAAAAAAAAAGUUACUUUUCUGGAGAUCGAGGUAUGGUUUUUUUCCUUGGAGCUGCAGUGGUGGAGUGCCAGCAGGAGAGCUCACCUCCUCACCCAGCAGCUGGCAGGCUACUGGGCAGCUUUCCACCUUUCUCUUGAAUAUUGUGGCUUGGGUUUUAACCCUUCUCCAGCCCUAACUCAACCCCCGUAGCUUCUCCCAUUUGUCCAUAAGCCACGGUGUCCUGACACUAUUGCAGUGAUGAGGGCCUUGUGUAAAAGAAGGCAGGGGCUGCUGGCCUGCUCACAUGUACACCUUUCCAGGGCUGAGCGCACCGAUCCCCAAAUCCUUUGUUCAUGCAACCUGAUGCAGACAAGGAAAAUAGCAGGCUGAUGUAUGCUGCAGAGCAAACUUCUUGGCACAGUCCAGCAGGAUUCUUUCACGAACCCUUCUCCCUGCCUUUCUUUUUUGCCCUUUGUUCAGCGCUCAGUCAGUAACCCCUUAGAAACAACUCGCAAACUGCCCACGCUGAAAGCGAGAACAGCAACAACAAAAGGAAUGAUAUAGAGGGAUGACUUCAGAGAGUUUGGAAAUAUCUUCUCAAAUGAAACAUUCCUUUGCACACAUACACAAGAAAGCAUCAAAAUUCUCUGCGGCUGAUGUAAACAGCAGAAAGAAAAAGUCAUCUGGAAGGACAGGAUGAUUCAUACCAAGGACCUGGCUGGCAAUAUUCAUCAGUGUUGAAAUCCUCUCUGCAAGAUGACUACAUGCGAAAGCAAAACCAACGAGAUCCCAGCUUUUGCCACGAGAAGCGUCAUUAAUGGCAGAGCAGCAUGGUUAGGCUCCUAAUGCCACAACCCUUGCUCAUGGGAGUUACCCUUGCUCACUCAUCUGACCGGUGGCAGCAAAAAGCCCUGUGUCACCCAGGUGAGAAUGCUUUACGUAAGGGCAGCCACAGCAGCAGGCUGGAGCACGCUCAGCUGUUGCAACCUGUUUUGCAGAAGGGGCUUUGGAGCAGGAACAGAAAGUUCACAGGCAAAAGACAAGGGAUUUUCUCCAUCUUGCCAAAACUCCUUGCUAGGGCUUCCUCUCAGAAAUCUCUGAUUUGAACACUUUAGGGAGACUGGAAAGUUCAGCCAAUCUUUCCCUUUAUGUUAAUUGUGUUGAUCCAAAGGGGAACGGGGCACAAAAGGCCACGCUGACUUUAUGCAUUGUUAUGAGAUACUUUCCCCUGCAUAUCUGAAUCUGUUUACUUAAUCUUCCAGGCCUUUACCCAUGAAUAUUAAACUGCUUGAUCACUAUGCAUUAGGAGUCAUCUUUGCACCAUCUGUUUGUAUUUGUCAUCUAACCCUUGUAAAUAAUAAAAUGUACUUUGUUCUCAAGUUCGUGGAUCCUAGCAGGAGAGUGAUUACCACGGAGGAAAAGUACUGUGUGAAGCUAUUAGCAGCCACAGGACUCUGCUUAACUCCCAGUCUCCUGUCUGCCCUCUGUGAGACAAAUGUACCAAGUCACAGGUUCCCAUUGUUCUCCAUAUCAGUCUAUUUCUGCUGCCAAGGCAUUCACCACUAUUACAGUCAUUAAACUAAAUCCAAAACCUACCCCAAAGAGUGACUGUUAGCCUCCUUAGUUUCCUUGUCCCAGAAGAGAUGAUUUCAGAUUCACAUCUCUGAAAACGAUGCAGAAAGCCUUGCUUAUGUGUGUAAAAAAAGCUCACAGCAGAAGAAGAGGCAAGUCGCAUCCCUGGAUGCCAGCAUUCAGCUGAGAGGUUCAACUGAGAGGUUCAGGUCACAAGAUGCCAGGCAAACACCAAGGGAAAAAUGCAGAAAGUGCAGUCUCUACAAUAUAAAAUUAAUCCUCAGAGUUCUGACUGAAAAUGUUACGCAGCAGGAAGAGCCGUGCCGCGUAUUACUGAGGUUCAGCUUCAACUUCACCAACUGAGACAAGUAGGUUUCACCAGGGAGAGAGGCCCAUAGCUGCAGGUGCCUGUGGAAAGCCACGGCCGCUGGCAGGCACGCCUCACACACCAGCAUCUCCUGCAGCUGGUGGGAGACGUGCCUGGCAGCAGGCUUAUGUCCAUUUACAUCACCCAAUAAGUUGCCUCUCCAUGGUCUUGUAAGUGAACCUGGAUGUCAGGCAACUAUCACCAGUCCUCAGGCAGCUGCGGUCUAUUUAUAAACCUAAUGGAGUUGAUUAGAGAAGGGAUCAUUUAGGAAAUUAUAAGGGAUCGUAUUGUAUCAACCUGACGUGAUGGUAGCGCCAAAUUUAGACAAGAAAAUAGUUGCCAAGUAUUUGCUUAACUGGAAGAGCUAUCUGGGCUUGGACAAGAUACUACUUGCCCCUCUGCUCAGCUUUGCAAACAUCAUGCACUAGGAGGUUACCUAUUAAGUGAUAGACAAUAGAUCUUUUUAAUUGUUAGAGCGUUACGACCUUAGACUUUGCCCAGGUAUUUAAUAACACCAUCUGCUGUCUAGCUCUGCAAUACUAUUAUUUUUACAUGAGGAUUACUCUUCGUGCUUCACAAACAGCGUUGUAAUAACAGAGCUAAAUAAGAGCACAGCAGCGUGCUACUUACACCCUACUGUCCAAGUAAAACACACAGGAGGUGCAGCUCACCCCAAAUUUCCAGACGUAUUGUCUCCAACCUGGAAGUCUUGAAGUGCUGCAGGCCGAAGAGCUGUG